UAAGUAGGUAAGGUAAUCGCUGAGCACAUAAUACUUUAUGUGCUUAGAGGAAAGUCCGAACACCUUCCAGAAGAAUUUUUGGGAACGUUCCGGGUAACACCCGGCCGCUGUGAGGCGAGAGGUGCGAACAGAGACGAUUUUUGACGAAAGUCAAAAAUCGCCCUCCGUAGUUUUAACGAAAGAGGGCGCAGCUUGGUGGUAACGCCAAGGAUGAAACGGCUAAAUCCUGACGGGGUGCAAGAACAAAGCCCAGUGAGAUAUUUCGCUAUCUUAUAGGGCUAAAAGUAGUUCGCUUGAGCCCGAGAGUAAUCUCCGGCCUAGACAGAUGAUUACUUUACCCGCCAAAAUUUCUUCGAAAUUUAGGCGGGCGAGACAGAAUUCGGCUUAUUACCUGCUUAGGCU
rnacentral:RNase_P_RNA from 1 species